UAGAGUUUGAUCCUGGCUCAGGAUGAACGCUAGCUACAGGCUUAACACAUGCAAGUCGAGGGGAAACGAUGUUGGAAGCUUGCUUCCGAUAGGCGUCGACCGGCGCACGGGUGAGUAACGCGUAUCCAACCUGCCCACCACUUGGGGAUAACCUUGCGAAAGUAAGACUAAUACCCAAUGAUAUCUCUAGAAGACAUCUGAAAGGGAUUAAAGAUUUAUCGGUGAUGGAUGGGGAUGCGUCUGAUUAGCUUGUUGGCGGGGUAACGGCCCACCAAGGCGACGAUCAGUAGGGGUUCUGAGAGGAAGGUCCCCCACAUUGGAACUGAGACACGGUCCAAACUCCUACGGGAGGCAGCAGUGAGGAAUAUUGGUCAAUGGGCGAGAGCCUGAACCAGCCAAGUAGCGUGCAGGAUGACGGCCCUAUGGGUUGUAAACUGCUUUUAUAAGGGAAUAAAGUGAGUCUCGUGAGACUUUUUGCAUGUACCUUAUGAAUAAGGACCGGCUAAUUCCGUGCCAGCAGCCGCGGUAAUACGGAAGGUCCGGGCGUUAUCCGGAUUUAUUGGGUUUAAAGGGAGCGUAGGCCGGAGAUUAAGCGUGUUGUGAAAUGUAGUGGCUCAACCUCUGCACUGCAGCGCGAACUGGUCUUCUUGAGUACGCACAACGUGGGCGGAAUUCGUGGUGUAGCGGUGAAAUGCUUAGAUAUCACGAAGAACUCCGAUUGCGAAGGCAGCUCACGGGAGCGCAACUGACGCUGAAGCUCGAAAGUGCGGGUAUCGAACAGGAUUAGAUACCCUGGUAGUCCACGCUGUAAACGAUGAAUACUAGGUGUGGGGGGACUGACCCCCUCCGUGCCGCAGUUAACACAAUAAGUAUUCCACCUGGGGAGUACGACCGCAAGGUUGAAACUCAAAGGAAUUGACGGGGGCCCGCACAAGCAGUGGAUUAUGUGGUUUAAUUCGACGCAACGCGAAGAACCUUACCAGGACUUGACAUCCAACUAACGAAGUAGAGAUACAUCAGGUGCCCUUCGGGGAAAGUUGAGACAGGUGGUGCAUGGUUGUCGUCAGCUCGUGUCGUGAGAUGUUGGGUUAAGUCCCGCAACGAGCGCAACCCCUAUUGUUAGUUGCUACGAAAGAGCACUCUAGCGAGACUGCCGUUGACAAAACGGAGGAAGGCGGGGACGACGUCAAAUCAUCAUGCCCCUUAUGUCCUGGGCUACACACGUAAUACAAUGGUGGCCAACAGAGGGAAGCGAAGCCGCGAGGUAGAGCAAAUCCCUAAAAGCCAUCUCAGUUCGGAUUGCAGGCUGCAACUCGCCUGCAUGAAGCUGGAAUUGCUAGUAAUCGCGGAUCAGCAUGCCGCGGUGAAUACGUUCCCGGGCCUUGCACACACCGCCCGUCAAG
rnacentral:rRNA from 1 species